AGAGUUUGAUCAUGGCUCAGAUUGAACGCUGGCGGCAGGCCUAACACAUGCAAGUCGAACGGUAACAGGAAGCAGCUUGCUGCUUUGCUGACGAGUGGCGGACGGGUGAGUAAUGUCUGGGAAACUGCCUGAUGGAGGGGGAUAACUACUGGAAACGGUGGCUAAUACCGCAUAACGUCGCAAGACCAAAGAGGGGGACCUUCGGGCCUCUUGCCAUCAGAUGUGCCCAGAUGGGAUUAGCUUGUUGGUGAGGUAACGGCUCACCAAGGCGACGAUCCCUAGCUGGUCUGAGAGGAUGACCAGCCACACUGGAACUGAGACACGGUCCAGACUCCUACGGGAGGCAGCAGUGGGGAAUAUUGCACAAUGGGCGCAAGCCUGAUGCAGCCAUGCCGCGUGUAUGAAGAAGGCCUUCGGGUUGUAAAGUACUUUCAGCGGGGAGGAAGGUGUUGUGGUUAAUAACCGCAGCAAUUGACGUUACCCGCAGAAGAAGCACCGGCUAACUCCGUGCCAGCAGCCGCGGUAAUACGGAGGGUGCAAGCGUUAAUCGGAAUUACUGGGCGUAAAGCGCACGCAGGCGGUCUGUCAAGUCGGAUGUGAAAUCCCCGGGCUCAACCUGGGAACUGCAUUCGAAACUGGCAGGCUUGAGUCUUGUAGAGGGGGGUAGAAUUCCAGGUGUAGCGGUGAAAUGCGUAGAGAUCUGGAGGAAUACCGGUGGCGAAGGCGGCCCCCUGGACAAAGACUGACGCUCAGGUGCGAAAGCGUGGGGAGCAAACAGGAUUAGAUACCCUGGUAGUCCACGCCGUAAACGAUGUCUACUUGGAGGUUGUGCCCUUGAGGCGUGGCUUCCGGAGCUAACGCGUUAAGUAGACCGCCUGGGGAGUACGGCCGCAAGGUUAAAACUCAAAUGAAUUGACGGGGGCCCGCACAAGCGGUGGAGCAUGUGGUUUAAUUCGAUGCAACGCGAAGAACCUUACCUGGUCUUGACAUCCACAGAACUUUCCAGAGAUGGAUUGGUGCCUUCGGGAACUGUGAGACAGGUGCUGCAUGGCUGUCGUCAGCUCGUGUUGUGAAAUGUUGGGUUAAGUCCCGCAACGAGCGCAACCCUUAUCCUUUGUUGCCAGCGAUUAGGUCGGGAACUCAAAGGAGACUGCCAGUGAUAAACUGGAGGAAGGUGGGGAUGACGUCAAGUCAUCAUGGCCCUUACGACCAGGGCUACACACGUGCUACAAUGGCGCAUACAAAGAGAAGCGACCUCGCGAGAGCAAGCGGACCUCAUAAAGUGCGUCGUAGUCCGGAUUGGAGUCUGCAACUCGACUCCAUGAAGUCGGAAUCGCUAGUAAUCGUGGAUCAGAAUGCCACGGUGAAUACGUUCCCGGGCCUUGUACACACCGCCCGUCACACCAUGGGAGUGGGUUGCAAAAGAAGUAGGUAGCUUAACCUUCGGGAGGGCGCUUACCACUUUGUGAUUCAUGACUGGGGUGAAGUCGUAACAAGGUAACCGUAGGGGAACCUGCGGUUG
rnacentral:rRNA from 10 species